UUAUCCACACAUUCAAAAACUGAGGAAAUUAAAUGACUACCACUUUCUGUAAAUUCUUGUUCAAUAGUCUUAAGUGAUAUAAAAAGGUGCCAGGUUUAAUGUAAUUCAAAUUCAGAAGCAGGGCUAUGAAUGAAGCUGUUUCUUAUUAGUGAAUUAAUCAGAACCUCUUGAAACGUUUUUAAGGAAAUUCAAGGAAAUUAUUCCCACUGAGCUAUGUUUAUAGUUACACUGUUCAAAGAAAGGAGAUUAAAAAGAUUCUAUAAGCAGGUUCAUAGGCUGUUAAGUUUCAUUACACUAUAUUUUUAAAACAUCAUAAGGAUCUGUAAGAUGAAAGUAAUAACCAGAACAACUGAAAAAAACUCUACCACUG
rnacentral:lncRNA from 1 species